UUUCCGUAGGUGAACCUGCGGAAGGAUCAUUCCUGAGUGAGGGCCCUCUGGGUCCAUCCUCCCAAUCGUCUUUUUUUUACCUUGUUUCUUCGGUGAGUCCGCCUUACGGCCGCCGGUAGGCAUCUUGUUCCGUGCCCGCGCUCGCCGAGGACAUCCUUGAACUCUGUCUGAAGUUUGUAGAUUUUGCGAGAACUAAAUAAGUUAAAACUUUCAACAACGGAUCUCUUGGUUCCG
rnacentral:misc_RNA from 1 species